GACAACAAAAGAGGAAGUAAAGACAUCGCUGACAACAACAUCAAAUCAACCAGACGAUUAUCUGUAUUUGCUGAGAUGCAUCAUUGUGUCUGUGGGUUUAGCAGCACUCUUAAUAUCUGCUGUUACAGUCAACAUGUGGACAAAUACUAAAGG